CCUACGGGAGGCAGCAGUGAGGAAUAUUGGUCAAUGGGCGCAAGCCUGAACCAGCCAUGCCGCGUGCAGGAUGACGGUCCUAUGGAUUGUAAACUGCUUUUGUACAGGAAGAAACACUCCCUCGUGAGGGAGCUUGACGGUACUGUAAGAAUAAGGAUCGGCUAACUCCGUGCCAGCAGCCGCGGUAAUACGGAGGAUCCAAGCGUUAUCCGGAAUCAUUGGGUUUAAAGGGUCCGUAGGCGGGUUUAUAAGUCAGUGGUGAAAGCCCAUCGCUCAACGAUGGAACGGCCAUUGAUACUGUAGAUCUUGAAUUAUUAGGAAGUAACUAGAAUAUGUAGUGUAGCGGUGAAAUGCUUAGAGAUUACAUGGAAUACCGAUUGCGAAGGCAGGUUACUACUAAUGGAUUGACGCUGAUGGACGAAAGCGUGGGUAGCGAACAGGAUUAGAUACCCUGGUAGUCCACGCCGUAAACGAUGGAUACUAGCUGUUCGGAGCAAUCUGAGUGGCUAAGCGAAAGUGAUAAGUAUCCCACCUGGGGAGUACGUUCGCAAGAAUGAAACUCAAAUGAAAUUGACGG
rnacentral:rRNA from 1 species